GAUGUACUCCCUCCGUCCGGAAAUACUUGUCAUUGAAAUGGAUGUAUCUAGAUGUAUUUUAGUUGUAAUUACAUCCAUUUUCAUCCAUUUUGAUGACAAAUAUUUCCGGACGGAGGGAGUACUUG
rfam:Triticum aestivum genome assembly, contig: Triticum_aestivum_CS42_TGACv1_scaffold_195723_3AL